rnacentral:lncRNA from 1 species
CUUUUUAGUGAAAAACUUGCAUGCAAUUUUAGUCUCAACAGGCUUAUAUUUGAACCACAUGCUAUCCUACAGAAGUAAAGAAAGAUAUUAUGUGAAAUGAAACAGGUACAAAAGACAUUGUUAAGUGCUUUUUAUACAAAUUUAGUGAGGUCUUUAUUAUGGACUUCAACUUUUAUGUGCCAUGCUCCUCACAUUUAACUUGAUCCAAACAGGGCGUUAGGUAGACGAGGGUCAUUUAUACAACACAUUUUGCUCAUAUUGUCUGAGAUAAUCUUCUUUUCUGUAGAUUCAGAGUUCACAAAUGAGUAAUAAAACUGGAUUAAAGCAUAGAAACACAAAAAUUGACACAUGAAAACAUGUCAGAUAGAAAGUCAGAAUGCCACUUAUGCAUCAAAAUUGAAAAAGCUAUGAAAUGCUUAUUUUGACCAUAUAAUGCCAAAAUUGGUCA